UAUAUGUUAGUGUUAAAUGCAUAAAAAAGUUUUGAUCUUUUAGGUUUUGGUGAAAAUCCCUUACAUAUAA
rnacentral:tRNA from 1 species